GGAGAAGCCUCUGGCUUUUCAGAUUUCCAGUCAUCCUCAGCAUGGGUCUUCUGCUGCACAUUGGACUCACCAGAACCGGCUAUAAUAGAUUUUAAAGAUUCUGCCAUCAAAAAAAAUUGAAAGCUGAGAAACAUCAGGGCAAUUCCCAAAUGGAAGAUCCAAAGGCCAUUUUAAAUACAGACCAGAUUCUGGUGUUCUCUGGAAGACAGAUGUACUCCAUUUGCCAUCUCUUUCACCCUGUGAAAUACGGACUGCGAAUUCAUACAUGGUGUCUGGAGUCAGGUUCUCAACCAACACGCGUCUGUUGGAGGAUCCACCCAGGCUACAAGCACAGAUUGGGAUGACAUGACCCGGACAUUGAUGUCUUCAGGCACGUCUAGUUCAUCCUCUUCUGAAAUGACAAUGGGACACAUUAAAGGCUAUCUCUAUAGUAGGAUCUGCCCUGAGUUCCUCUGGCCUCUAGAGUUCAUUAUUCAUGCUGUAUAAUUUUUAAAUUGCUUACACUUGAUGUUGAUAAAAUGAAAUGAAUAGAAAGCUAAGCAAUUGUUUGCUUGGUCAAUGUGGAAAAACCAAACUCUCCAUUCCUGUUCUUCUUACCCACAGUCUAAGAAAUGGGCCAUUCACUUGAAAAGUUGCCCAAUCCAGCUGACGUAAAGAACAGUGAGAAAGGGAUGCUUUGCCUUGGUCCAAGACACUCCAAGUAAUUCAGUGUUUUCUUAACACAUACUGUGAGUUUCUGGGAAAUAACACAAGAUUUACAGGAAGCAAAAGUUUGGGGGGAGAAAAGGUUAAGCCAGAGCAUUUCCUUAGCGAUCAUGGCAUGAAAUGAAAUUCAAACAAAUGCACAAAUCACAUUGGUUUCAGUGUCCUCCCAUUUUAGAAAAUGUGGUUCCAAGACAGAUUAAAAGUUACAUUCAGACAUAAAAUAGAAUUCAGUUUGCCAGUUUCCAAGAGAAUACAUCAUACUCACGAAGCUUAUAGCUUCUGUUCAAUCUCUACGCAAAAUGAAGAACUACAGGCUUCAAUUUUGCUUUUAGUCUCUUGGGGGUUUUGUUUGUUUUGUUUUUUAUUUUCACCUUUCAGGGACCAUGUUUCAAAAGGAUGUGACUUUUGCUACAAGUAAGGGAAGGUGGGAAUAGCCUGUUAAAAAAGCAAUGCAGGCACAUUUUCUAUAGCAGUAAAUAAUGAAAAAUAAAAAUGCAACCUCAUAUAUUUGAGACUUCUGUCACACAAC